rnacentral:rRNA from 1 species
UAGAGCAAAUACUCAAAAAAACAAUCUCAGUUCAGACUGCAGGCUGCAACUCGCCUGCACGAAGUCGGAAUUGCUAGUAAUCGUAGGUCAGCAUACUACGGUGAAUACGUUCCCGGGCCUUGUACACACCGCCCGUCAAACCAUGAGAGUUGGCAACACCUGAAGUCGGUAGUCUAACCGCAAGGAGGACGCCGCCGAAGGUGGGGUUGAUGAUUAGGGUUAAGUCGUAACAAGGUAAC